UAGGGAAUCUUCGGCAAUGGGGGGAACCCUGACCGAGCAACGCCGCGUGAGUGAAGAAGGUUUUCGGAUCGUAAAGCUCUGUUGUUAAGGAAGAACGAGUGUGAGAAUGGAAAGUUCAUGCUGUGACGGUACUUAACCAGAAAGGGACGGCUAACUACGUGCCAGCAGCCGCGGUAAUACGUAGGUUCCGAGCGUUGUCCGGAUUUAUUGGGCGUAAAGCGAGCGCAGGCGGUUAGAAAAGUCUGAAGUGAAAGGCAGUGGCUCAACCAUUGUAGGCUUUGGAAACUUUUUAACUUGAGGGCAGAAGGGGAGAGUGGAAUUCCAUGUGUAGCAGUGAAUUGCGUAGAUAUAUGGAGGAACACCGGUGGCGAAAGCGGCUCUCUGAUCUGUAACUGACGCUGAGGCUCGAAAGCGUGGGGAGCGAACAGG
rnacentral:rRNA from 1 species